GAUGAACGCUGGCGGCGUGCCUAAUACAUGCAAGUCGAGCGGACGGACGAGAAGCUUGCUUCUCUGAUGUUAGCGGCGGACGGGUGAGUAACACGUGGAUAACCUACCUAUAAGACUGGGAUAACUUCGGGAAACCGGAGCUAAUACCGGAUGAUAUUUUGAACCGCAUGGUUCAAAAGUGAAAGACGGUCUUGCUGUCACUUAUAGAUGGAUCCGCGCUGCAUUAGCUAGUUGGUAAGGUAACGACUUACCAAGGCAACGAUGCAUAGCCGACCUGAGAGGGUGAUCGGCCACACUGGAACUGAGACACGGUCCAGACUCCUACGGGGGGCAGCAGUAGGGAAUCUUCCGCAAUGGGCGAAAGCCUGACGGAGCAACGCCGCGUGAGUGAUGAAGGUCUUCGGAUCGUAAAACUCUGUUAUUAGGGAAGAACAUAUGUGUAAGUAACUGUGCACAUCUUGACGGUACCUAAUCAGAAAGCCACGGCUAACUACGUG
rnacentral:rRNA from 1 species